UCCCUGAUAGCUCAGUCGGUAAAGAAUCUGCCUGCAAUGCAGGAGACCCUGGUUCAAUUCCAGGGUUGGGCA
rnacentral:tRNA from 1 species